CUCCAAGGCUAAAUACUACCUAGUGACCGAUAGCGUAUAGUACCGUGAGGGAAAGGUGAAAAGAACCCCGGGAGGGGAGUGAAAUAGAACCUGAAACCCUGCACUUACAAGCUGUGGAAGCACAUUUCUUGUGUGACCGCGUACUUUUUGUAGAACGGGCCAACGAGUUACGUUAAGUAGCAAGGUUAAGCACUUAAGGUGCGGAGCCGUAGCGAAAGCGAGUUUUAACUGAGCGUUCAGUUAUUUGACGUAGACCCGAAACCGGGCGACCUACCCAUGAGCAGGAUGAAGCGAAAGUAAAAUUUCGUGGAGGUCCGAACCCACGAGCGUUGAAAAGCUCGG
rnacentral:rRNA from 1 species